UACAGAGGUCCCGAGCGUUGUUCGGAUUCACUGGGCGUAAAGGGUGCGUAGGUGGUGAGGUAAGUCGGAUGUGAAAUCUCCGGGCUCAACCCGGAAAUGGCAUUGGAAACUACCUUGCUGGAGGAUUUGAGGGGGGAUUGGAAUACUUGGUGUAGCAGUGAAAUGCGUAGAUAUUCGGAAGAACACCAGUGGCGAAGGCGGCUCACUGGACCGGUAUUGACGCUGAGGUGCGAAAGCGUGGGGAGCAAACAGG
rnacentral:rRNA from 1 species